UGUAACGUUUUGCGUUUUUUUUAGUUAAAUUUAAUGGAAUAAAUCAAAUAAAUAGAAUAAAAGUAAUUUAAAUUUAUGUUGUAUUAAUGUUGACGAUAAAGAAAUAUUUUAUUUGUUCGUAAAAUUGGUCCAUCCCUGUUACUUAUGCUCAUGUAUGUCGAAGCGUUUGUAAAAGCUUACGUGAUUUGAACUUUUAUAGCAUAAUGCUAAUGGCGCGUAUCUACUUUCUGGCGAAUUACAGUCAUACUGCAAAUUUGUCGCCAUGCAUGAAAAUCGCCAUGCAGAAAAUGUUGGCGCGAUUUUUAAUAAUAGUCAUCUAAUUCAAUAGUGGGACUUUUGAAAAGCGGCACAGUUUCUUAGCGCAACGACUGCUUCAAAUCGAUCAUUUCGCUACAAGAUCGGCUGGAAGACAGAAGUGCGCGAAUUUAAUUCGAAGUAUCUACCAAGUUUGAUUUGAGUUUGAGUUGAGUUUAAGUCAGUUUAAAGUGAAUUGAAGUCUAGUUGAGUUUUUGGUGAAAGUUAUUCUCCAAUUUCUAAGAGGACCGAGGUCCGCAAAUUCGCGAUUUCUGCAAUUGAUUUAUUUCUCGAAGGAAUUGAACUACGAAAAAAGGUAAUUUUUUGAUAAUUAAAUUAAAAGUGCUUAAGAUUAACAUGAAUUCCUGUUGGACGUGUAGCGCCUAGCGCUUUUUUCGUACGGCUGGUUUUUUCGUCGUCGUUCGGCGGUAUCCCUCGCCGAAUCGGGGUUUCGUAGGCGGAUUGAACCGCCAGUUUCGUCCGUGAGUCAUCGUUUCCGACCCGUGUGCCCAGCAAAGGCCCGCCUUUCAGAAGGCAGUCAAACGGAGGCGCGAGUGAAGUCGCUCAAUCAUCUCCGUAGCGAAGAAUUCCCGUCGGCCGCCAAUCACCGACGGUAAGGCCCUUUUCCGUUACACCCCGUGGGCCGGAAAUCACGAGAGUCGGUUCGUAGCAGCGUGUCGCCAAUUGCACGUCACGAACCCGGUCCGUAUCUAGGAAGAUAGAGGUAGCGACAUUCCCCGCUCGGUCAUAGCUGGAAGCAUAGUACGCGAAGCCGGGUCGCUGGGCUCUGUUUGCGCCUUUAUUGACCGGAGAAAGACCAUCCCGGGAAUCGCUCGGCAUCCGCCGAAGCCCUCUCGUUCGUCCAACAAUCGGAAGCUUCCGUCCAGCCGCCACUCCCUCCGCACCGGUAGUUCGGCCAUACCGCACACGGGUCCCUUUGUCGACGCUGCGCGCCAAAUCGCAGCACGGACUCGUCGGCAGCCGCCAUUCUGCUGUCGCCGCUGUUGAGCAUCGAGGUAGUCGCCAUCGUUGAGUCGUCGAGCUACGCCACCCCGUCAUCGAGCAUCGCAACACCAAAACCUGCGCAGGUAUGUGAAGAGCUUUUAGUUACAUGGCCAUGUUUGCUCUUUUUCCAUUCCGUUACGAAUUUCCCGUCCAAUACGAAUGAAGUUGCUAAAAUAAAUAGUUAAAGUUUUUGAAAUUAGUUCAGUUCCGUUACGUUUCACAUUGCUUUUUUUUAAUAAACAUACUCACUACAGUCCGUUACGUUUUAAUUCCGUUUUCGCUCGAAUGAGUAAGCAUCCCUUCCAGUUUUCCAUAAGUUCUUCUAGCCUGUGAAAGAGUUGGAGUUUAGUUUGCGUUUUCGAAGAAAUUCUGCCGUUAUUUCCAUGAACCGUUCAAAACCGUCCCUGAGUGAGAAAGUCUCUAGCAAAGUCGGGCAAAAUUAAACACGACCGGUGGUCUCUCUUUGAGAGUGGCGCUUAAGCCACCGCGCUUUUAAAAUUCCUCGUGAACAGUUUACGAACGGUUACAUUG